GCGGGUUUAGCUCAGUUGGGAGAGCGUCAGACUGAAGUCAAAACUUCAGGAACUCAAUCUGAAGGUCGUGUGUUCGAUCCACACAAACCGCA
rfam:Myceliophthora thermophila ATCC 42464 chromosome 6, complete sequence.